rnacentral:rRNA from 1 species
AGAGUUUGAUCCUGGCUCAGGAUGAACGCUGGCGGCGUGCUUAACACAUGCAAGUCGAACGAUCCUUCGGGAUAGUGGCGGACGGGUGAGUAACGCGUGGGAAUCUGCCCUCAGGAGGGGGAUAACGGCUGGAAACGGCCGCUAAUACCCCAUAUGCCGAGAGGUGAAAUGAAUUUCGCCUGAGGAUGAGCCCGCGUCUGAUUAGCUAGUUGGUGGGGUAAUGGCCUACCAAGGCAACGAUCAGUAGCUGGUCUGAGAGGAUGAUCAGCCACACUGGGACUGAGACACGGCCCAGACUCCUACGGGAGGCAGCAGUGGGGAAUUUUCCGCAAUGGGCGAAAGCCUGACGGAGCAACGCCGCGUGAGGGAUGAAGGCCUCUGGGCUGUAAACCUCUUUUCUCAAGGAAGAAGAUCUGACGGUACUUGAGGAAUAAGCCACGGCUAAUUCCGUGCCAGCAGCCGCGGUAAUACGGGAGUGGCAAGCGUUAUCCGGAAUUAUUGGGCAUAAAGCGUCCGCAGGCGGCCUUGUAAGUCUGUUGUUAAAGCGUGGAGCUCAACUCCAUUUAAGCAAUGGAAACUACAAGGCUGGAGUGUGGUAGGGGCAGAGGGAAUUCCCGGUGUAGCGGUGAAAUGCGUAGAUAUCGGGAAGAACACCAGUGGCGAAGGCGCUCUGCUGGGCCAUAACUGACGCUCAUGGACGAAAGCCAGGGGAGCGAAAGGGAUUAGAUACCCCUGUAGUCCUGGCCGUAAACGAUGAACACUAGGUGUCGGGGGAAUCGACCCCCUCGGUGUCGUAGCCAACGCGUUAAGUGUUCCGCCUGGGGAGUACGCACGCAAGUGUGAAACACAAAGGAAUUGACGGGGGCCCGCACAAGCGGUGGAGUAUGUGGUUUAAUUCGAUGCAACGCGAAGAACCUUACCAGGGUUUGACAUCCUGCGAACCCCUGAGAAAUCGGGGGGUGCCUUCGGGAGCGCAGAGACAGGUGGUGCAUGGCUGUCGUCAGCUCGUGUCGUGAGAUGUUGGGUUAAGUCCCGCAACGAGCGCAACCCACGUCUUUAGUUGCCAGCAUUCAGUUGGGCACUCUAGAGAGACCGCCGGUGAUAAACCGGAGGAAGGUGUGGAUGACGUCAAGUCAUCAUGCCCCUUACAUCCUGGGCUACACACGUACUACAAUGCUACGGACAAAGGGCAGCAAGCUCGCGAGAGUUAGCAAAUCCCAUAAACCGUGGCUCAGUUCAGAUCGUAGGCUGCAACUCGCCUACGUGAAGGAGGAAUCGCUAGUAAUCGCAGGUCAGCAUACUGCGGUGAAUACGUUCCCGGGCCUUGUACACACCGCCCGUCACACCAUGGAAGUUGGCCAUGCCCGAAGUCGUUACUCCAACCCUUGUGGAGGAGGACGCCGAAGGU